rnacentral:rRNA from 1 species
GUCCACUGAACCUUAUCAUUUAGAGGAAGGAGAAGUCGUAACAAGGUUUCCGUAGGUGAACCUGCGGAAGGAUCAUUGUCGAAACCUGCAAAACAGACCCGCGAACACGUUCGAACUCACGGGGGGGGAAGACGCGGGCGCGACCGACCACGUCGUCCCGAGUCGGAGACCCGCUCCGUCGACGGGCGCGCACGCUCCCGUCGUGCGGCUAACAAAAACCCGGCGCGAAAAGCGUCAAGGAAUACUGAAAACAUCGCUCGCCCAUCGACGCCCCGUUCGCGGUGUGCGCGUGGGACCGAGCGUGUGUCGAACCUGAAACGACUCUCGGCAACGGAUAUCUUGGCUCUCGCAUCGAUGAAGAACGCAGCAAAAUGCGAUACUUGGUGUGAAUUGCAGAAUCCCGUGAACCAUCGAGUUUUUGAACGCAAGUUGCGCCCGAAGCCAUUAUGCUGAGGGCACGUCUGCCUGGGCGUCACGCACAUCGUCGCCCUCCACCUCCCCCGUCGCGGGAGCGCGGGUGCUGGGACGGAUAUUGGCCUCCCGUGCGCAUCGGCGUGCGGCCGGCACAAACGCGAUUCGGCAUCGACGUAUGUCACGACAAUUGGUGGUUGAAGACCUCAGCUAGCGCGUUGCCGUGCACGAAUGCGUCGUCCGCGCCGUACGAGUUGACCCCGAAGGCGCUUCGCGCCUCGACAGCGACCCCAGGUCAGGCGGGACUACCCGCUGAGUUUAAGCAUAUCAAUAAGCGGAGGA